AUUGAACGCUGGCGGCAUGCCUUACACAUGCAAGUCGAACGGCAGCGGGCCUUCGGGUGCCGGCGAGUGGCGAACGGGUGAGUAAUGCAUCGGAACGUGCCAUUGAGUGGGGGAUAACGUAGCGAAAGUUACGCUAAUACCGCAUAUUCUGUGAGCAGGAAAGCAGGGGACCGCAAGGCCUUGCGCUCUUUGAGCGGCCGAUGUCAGAUUAGCUAGUUGGUGAGGUAAAGGCUUACCAAGGCGACGAUCUGUAGCGGGUCUGAGAGGAUGAUCCGCCACACUGGAACUGAGACACGGUCCAGACACCUACGGGAGGCAGCAGUGGGGAAUUUUGGGACAAUGGGCGCAAGCCUGAUCCAGCCAUGCCGCGUGAGUGAAGAAGGCCUCGGUUGUAAG
rnacentral:rRNA from 1 species